rnacentral:sRNA from 1 species
CUCUUCACAUUGCUGAGGACAUAUGAAGUGAAUAUGGGCGUCGAUAGCGCCAGCCGUCAAAAUCAGUUUUUCGCCUGCGAUUACCUCUGUAGCGGAGCCGACAACGAGAUCCUCGUGGACUCCAGCCAUCACGUCUGGGUUGCCAGCCUUUCCGAUUCCGCAAAUAACCCCGUUCUUAACUCCGAUGUCGGCCUUGUAGAUUCCUGACCAGUCGAUAACAAGGGCAUUUGUGAUAAGCAGGUCGAUACAUUCAGAAGCCAGGCGGUUGGUCGCCUGCCCCAUGCCCUCUCGAA